GCGGCAAUCGCCAUUUUGUUAACUCUUGGACCGUGUGCUGAGAGAAGAGCUUGCUGAGAGCCUCAGAUUAUGAAAAAAAAUGUGUCAGACUAUUUACACAAGCUGCCCCACCGGUAUCAAUGAAAGGUCGGGAGGUCAGAAACCUCAGGAGACUGCUGAUGAGAUGCCGGGCUGAAGGGAAAAUGCUACCCCUUCUGGUAAAAGGUCAGAGCGGUGUGGAGCCUUCAAUAGACUGAUGCGACUGCAGGGGACUGUCAACCUAGUAGAAAGGACACUGGCACUCAAGCCAGCAUUGAGGCCACAUCCUAUGACCUGGAAGACCUUGCCAUACACCCAAGAAGUAUGAAGACUAGUUCAUUUUAUUUAUUCAUAAUAUUUGCAUCUUCACCCUCCAGUACGGUCUCUCUAAAAAGAGGGAUUUUGAAGUGCUGUGGUUGCUUAGUGCCACGAAAGCAAAUCCCAGAUCGGAUGGUGGAGUGCCCAUCUGGCAGCAUGUGGCUUCCCAUCCCCGAACCUUACUUGGUAAACUGUGUUCCUGAUCAGAGUCCUGCUGAUGCUCUAGGAAAGGAUAACGAAGCAGGCCCAGCUGCUCACUUGAUGCCUAGCUGUUGCUGGUGCAACUUCUCAUCUUGCUUAGACCCCAGGAACUUCUGCUGGACAGCUCCCUUGCUAGUUAGACAUAGACACCUUGGCCCCUGACCUGCUGGACAGCUUGCCAUUAAGACAGCAAUGGAGGCAGGAAUGGGUCACUCAUGAAGGGCGCAAGAAGAAGUGGCACAAGAGCACCCCAAGUGAACGUCGUCUUUGCCAUGAGCCCCACUGCUUGUAGAUCGUCUGGAGAAGUUCGUCUGUGGUUUGUCGGCUACUCAGGAACUUGCCAAGUCGUUUGGCGGCUACUCGGGAACAGGCCUCCUCCAUUGCUGCCCCUGGACUUUGAAAUGCACUCCCUGUUGAAAUAAGAGCCUCUCCAUCUCUGGCAACUUUUAAAAAGGCACCGAAGACACAUUUAUUCACCCUGGCUUUUAAUUAGAUAUAUGGUUUUAAUUUUUAAUAUUGGGUUUUAAAUGUUUUAAAUGAUUUUAAUUGUUAAUUGAUUUAAUGUUUUUAAUGGUCUUAAUUGUAAAGCGCCCAGAGAUGCACGUUUUGGGCGGUAUAGAUAUAUUUUAAAUAAAUAAACUAAUUAAAGUAAGUGCUGCUCCCUUAUUAUGUAUAAGGCCUGUGUGAAGCUUUGGCCCAAAGCCAAAUAUUCUGCACAGCCCACUUGGCACUGUGUGGAGGUGACUGUUCCCACCUUGCAAUGCUACACUGAGCCCAAUGCCAGUGGGUCUCCUUUAAUGGAAACAGAGCCCUCUCAAGCCCCAGCCCCACCAACAUGUGGAGUGCUUUUCCCCACUUCUGCCUAUGAAAAAAGCUCUGGGGAGGAUGACUCUUCCCAGCAGUCCAUGAACCCCUUCCAAGAUGGUCCUCUGUUUCUCUUAAAAGGUCCCUCCCCAGCUCUGUAAAAAGUGCCAUGCUGCAUGGAGGUCAGCGCAGUAGGAAAUGGUUCUUACUUUGCAGGGUCUUUGCUAGAGGGGCUCCAAUAGAAAAAUAACGAAGAUCAUUGCCCCAUGGCAGAGGUGGGCAACUUUGGCUUUCCAACUGUUGCUGAACUACAACUCCCAUCAUCCUUGUUGUAGCAAGCAUGAGCUAAGCAGGUUCCACCCUGGUUGCAUAAGAAUGGGAGACUUGAUGUGUGAGCACUGUAAGAUAUUCCCCACAGGGGGUGGAGCCGCUCAGGGAAGAGCAUCUAGGUUUCAAGUUCCCUCCGUGGCAUCUCCAAGAUAGGGCUGAGAGAGACUCCUGCCUGCAACCUGUUGGGAAUUCUCUCUGGUAAGAGAUACACUUCUAAUAUAGCAGAGUGCACAGAGGCAAAACACAGCGGAGUCUGCCCAGGCAUGUGUGUUUGCUGAGAGCAAAAGAAACUUGGAGCCAGUUCAUAGUUUCAAAUCAAUAUAAGGAGUCUUUAUUGGAGAACUCCAUUCUAGAUAGGAAAGUGGAGAGAUAGGAUCUCUAAUCUUGCUAGUUAGCUGGAUGCAGAGAGAUGCUGUCCACAUCUCUGCACACAUGGUGCAGAGAGAGAGGCGAACAUGUGUGUUAGGGAGAAGAAGAAGGAAUAAAGAGAGAGAGGCAGGCAGGCAGGAAGUCCCUGAGAGUAGCAAUCUACAUAUCAAAGAGAUAGUGUCAAAGCAGUAGAGAGAAGGGAUGACCAAUGUCUUGACCCCUCUAGCCCUCUGACUCACUAAUCUGUCCCCCUCUGUCAUUGAGGCAUGAGGCAGGCGCAGAGUCCUUCACUUCCAACACCCCCUCUCAGAAGAAACCUCUGCCAGUCUGUGUUGACAAUACUGAGCUAGAUGGACCAAUGGUCUCACUCAGUAAGCGGCAGCUCCCUAUGUUUGUAUCCCCAGCUGCAAUUUACUGUGGCUGGAGAUGAUGGGAGUUGUAGUUCAGCAACAGCUAAAAAACCAAGCUUGCCUUCUCCUGCUCUAUGGGGUUGUUUUUGAAACGCUCCAUCCCUGAAGUUGCUGCUGACAUGCAUGUAUGGACCAGGUUUCUGAGACUACACAGAGUGCAAAUGCAAAGCAAAGGUGAAUCACGUCUCAGGACACUCCCCCCCCCACCCGCCGCCACUUUGCAUGCAAUUCUAAGGUGCUGAUCUAGGGUUUUUAUAAUUUAAACGGGUAUUUUUUUGCUGCUGACUGAGUAAUUAAAAUCUGUUGUUAACUCCAUGUGUUUUUUAAAAGGAAACUAGGUUCACCCUGAAGGCUGUUUAUAAUUAUUUAUAAUCGCAUAAAGCAACACAAAGCCCAAUGCUUGAUGCGUUGUUGCAUGCAAAAUGAAAAGCUCGUUGUUAGUACAAUAUUGAGAAUAAGAUUUAAAUUACAAAAACUGUAAGCAAACCAGGCACUCUAAAGGACUCUGUAACCACCAGCUAUUUCUCCUGGGAGGCGGUGCUGAUAUUUCCAUAUAUUGAAAGUGAAAUGUAUGAACUGUAGCUAAUCACCAGCCUGCAUCUAGGGCAAAAAAUUCUGGUGUCCAUAUCAGUCCUGGGGAGCAGGAAUUACUGUGUCCUCAGCAGUGCCACUCCUAUCUCUCUGACUUCCAGGAUGAAAUGAGUUUCAAAAAGGGUGAAAAAUACUUCUAGGAACAUGAAAAACAAGGGAUAAAUACUAGGAAAUGAAAUGCUGGGUUUUCGUUCCCGGUCAGGAAACCUAAGAAUGUAAGAGCUGCCUUGAUGGGUCACACCAUAGUCCAGCAUUCUGUGAUUGUCUUCCUUAGCAUCUAGCACUCGGGGGUAGAGUGCCUCUCUACAUGGAAGUUCCAUAUUGAUAUCCUGGUUGAUGUUUGUUGGGCCUGUCCCUCAAGAAUGUAUUUAUUCUCUUUUUAAAAAUGAACAAACCAUCAAUGCUAUUGGCCAUCUUGUUAGCCACAUCAUACAAUACUUUCCCCUGAAGAUCUGGCCCACAUUAUGAAAAGGGUGAUGUUCUUAGAGUGUGUUCAUUGCGAUAUUUUUCAGGGAUGUUCUGACACCCUCCUGUGUUGGACUAGAUGUCCUCCACGGACCCUCCCAGCUCUGCCCCCAGCUAACUGUUAAAUGUUUUACUUGUUGAUGGUUUUAUGUUGUUUUUAUAGUUUCUGAUUCUAACUGUUAAUUGAUUUUGGUUGUUUUUAUUUUAAUGUAAAGCGCCCUGAGCCAUUUUUGGAAGGGUGGUAUAGAAAUCAAUCAAAUAAAUAAAUAAAUAAGCAAACAGAUACCUUUUUAAAGUGGUGAUUCUCUUUAUUUAGCAGGGGGAGAGCAACUGGCCACAUUCAGCCCCAGCACAGCAUCCCUCCAGUGGCUGUUGCUGGUGUCUAUCUUAUGUUUCUUUUUUAGAUUGUGAGUCCUUUGGGGCAGGGUGCCAUUUUAUUUAUUUGUU